ensembl:lncRNA
GGUGGACUGCCGUCUUGUGUAUGAGUAAGCAGCGUUGCUCUGCCAUACCCUUCAGCCAUGGGAACCUACCUGGGAGCCUGCCAACCAUGACAGGAAACCUCUGAAACUUAACAAGCUGGAACUUACAGUUGACUGGAAAUGAAGCAUCCCACAUGGGUGAGUUUUCUGUACAAAGAAGUUCAUCCAUCCCUUUCUGUUCUCUUUAGAAGGAACCUGUUUAUCCACACACACACCCACAGCCAGAUUGUGUAAAACCUACCCCAAGUAGAGAAUUUGUUUUCAGUAUUCAUCAACUCCACUUACUGACUGUCUACUCUGCUAGUUUUUGCUCUCAGAUUUCUUGGUUUUUCAACCUCUCUGUUUAUUUCGAUUCCAUGUCUUGGCUAUUUUUCCAUGUAUCCUAAAAACUAAUUUGACCUUUCUCUUCUUGCACUAGCCAGGUGUCCUGGAGGACACAGUUCCUGGUGUUUACAUCCAGGUCUCAUGCAUGGCCAUGAUAAGCAGGUGGUUGGUCAGGGAGCCCCCUGCCUCUCCUCAGC